GAAGGGGGCUAGCGUUGCUCGGAAUCACUGGGCGUAAAGCGCACGUAGGCGGCUUUCUAAGUCAGGGGUGAAAUCCUGGAGCUCAACUCCAGAACUGCCUUUGAUACUGGAGAGCUUGAGUCCGGGAGAGGUGAGUGGAACUCCGAGUGUAGAGGUGAAAUUCGUAGAUAUUCGGAAGAACACCAGUGGCGAAGGCGGCUCACUGGCCCGGUACUGACGCUGAUGUGCGAAAGCGUGGGGAGCAAACAGGAUUAGAUACCCUGGUAGUCCACGCCGUAAACGAUGGAUGCUAGCCGUUGGCGGGUUUACCCGUCAGUGGCGCAGCUAACGCAUUAAGCAUCCCGCCUGGGGAGUACGGUCGCAAGAUUA
rnacentral:rRNA from 1 species